rnacentral:tRNA from 1 species
GUUUUUAUAGUUUAAUUAAAAAUAUUGGUCUUGUAAAUCAAAGUUAAAUUUAUAUUUUAAAAACU